UUUUACAGGUUUUGCAAUUUGACCUGUACAAAUGUUUAAGAAAGUGUUAAAGUCCCUGUAAAGGUAAUACAAAAAAUCUAAACACAUUAUAAAUGUUAAAAAUGUAUUGCUAAAACACAUGACAAAGACUGAACAGUGAAGUUCCGCUGUCGCCAAAUCUGUUUCCGGUUUACUUGCGCGUCGCCCAAAAUGUCUGUUUUUACUCGACGUCUCCAGAAUCUUCCGAAAAUACGCGUCAGCGAUGUUCAUCGCAUUGUUGAUGCCUGGUCCCCUGCUCCGACAAGCAAGAGGGACAAGGGCUUUAAACUCUACAUAUCGAAUUAUCUGCACAACUACAAGGGAGCACACACUCUACAAAAGCCUGACUGGAGAUUUGCCUGAUCUAUCCGUCCUUCAGAUGACAGCGGCUCGCUUCAAGAGCAGGUGAAGCAAGUUGGGACAAUGUUGAAGACAUUUGCUCGCACUGGGCAAUCAGGUGCAGAUCAAACCCUAAUGCUGCGACGUCU